ACCAUGGCCAGCACCACCACCACCACCGCCACCACCACCACCACCACUGCCUUGGAUCUUCCUCAGCCGUUCAUAAAUGCAAUGCGAACUCUUUUUGACAUAAUGGAUGACCAACGAUCUGGCUACGUCAAAUUGUCAGAGAUUGAGAGGCGCUGGCAGGAUGACGGGGCGCAAGGGUUACCGCGCGACGUUCUUCCGAGUCUACGCAAGGUCACCCCAUGGAUGGAUAUCUUUCCUUCGAGAGAUUUUGCGCUGGAUUACACAUUAGCCUCCUCCGGAACAAGAGAGAAGAUAGAAUCCUCCUCCUCCUCCUCCUCCUCCUC